rnacentral:rRNA from 1 species
GACGAACGCUGGCGGCGUGCUUAACACAUGCAAGUCGAACGGUAAGGCCCUUCGGGGUACACGAGUGGCGAACGGGUGAGUAACACGUGGGUGAUUUGCCCUGCACUUCGGGAUAAGCCUGGGAAACUGGGUCUAAUACCGGAUAGGACCACUGCCUGCAUGGGUGGUGGUGGAAAGCUUUUGCGGUGUGGGAUGGGCCCGCGGCCUAUCAGCUUGUUGGUGGGGUGAUGGCCUACCAAGGCGACGACGGGUAGCCGGCCUGAGAGGGUGACCGGCCACACUGGGACUGAGAUACGGCCCAGACGCCUACGGGAGGCAGUAGUGGGGAAUAUUGCACAAUGGGCGCAAGCCUGAUGCAGCGGCGCCGCGUGAGGGAUGACGGCCUUCGGGUUGUAAACCUCUCUCAGCACCGACGAAGCGCAAGUGACGGUAGGUGCAGAAGAAGGACCGGCCAACUACGUGCCAGCAGCCGCGGUAA